rnacentral:rRNA from 1 species
AACGAACGCUGGCGGCAUGCCUAACACAUGCAAGUCGAACGAGAUCUUCGGGUCUAGUGGCGCACGGGUGCGUAACGCGUGGGAAUCUGCCCUUUGGUUCGGAAUAACAGUUGGAAACGACCACUAAUACCGGAUGAUGACGAAAGUCCAAAGAUUUAUCGCCAGAGGAUGAGCCCGCGUAGGAUUAGCUAGUUGGUGUGGUAAAGGCGCACCAAGGCGACGAUCCUUAGCUGGUCUAAGAGGAUGAUCAGCCACACUGGGGCUGAGCACACGGCCCAGACUCCUACGGGAGGCAGCAGUGGGGAAUAUUGGACAAUGGGCGAAAGCCUGAUCCAGCAAUGCCGCGUGAGUGAUGAAGGCCUUAGGGUUGUAAAGCUCUUUUACCCGGGAUGAUAAUGACAGUACCGGGAGAAUAAGCUCCGGCUAACUCCGUGCCAGCCGCCGCAGUAA